UAUGUAUUCAAUUNGUCAGAGGUGAAANCCCUUGGAUUUAUUGAAGACUAACUACUGCGAAAGCAUUUGCCAAGGAUGUUUUCAUUAAUCAAGAACGAAAGUUAGGGGAUCGAAGACGAUCAGAUACCGUCGUAGUCUUAACCCAUAAACUAUGCCGACUAGGGAUCGGAUGAUGUUAAUUUUUUAAUGACUCA
rnacentral:rRNA from 1 species